rnacentral:rRNA from 1 species
AGAGUUUGAUCCUGGCUCAGGAUGAACGCUAGCGGCAGGCUUAACACAUGCAAGUCGAGGGGCAGCGCGAUGUAGCAAUACAUUGGCGGCGACCGGCGCACGGGUGCGUAACACGUAUGGAAUCUGCCCUGUACUGGAAGAUAACCCGGCGAAAGUCGGACUAAUAUCCCAUAAUAGCCGAGGUGGCAUCACCUUGGUUUGAAAGCUCCGGCGGUACAGGAUGACCAUGCGCACGAUUAGCUAGUUGGUGAGGUAACGGCUCACCAAGGCUACGAUCGUUAGGGGGCCUGAGAGGGUUAUCCCCCACACUGGUACUGAGACACGGACCAGACUCCCACGGGAGGCAGCAGUGAGGAAUAUUGCGCAAUGGAGGCAACUCUGACGCAGCCAUGCCGCGUGCAGGAAGAAGGCGCUACGCGUUGUAAACUGCUUUUAUCCGGGAAGAAACCCCAGGACGUGUCCUGGGUUGACGGUACCGGAGGAAUAAGCACCGGCUAACUUCGUGCCAGCAGCCGCGGUAAUACGAAGGGUGCAAGCGUUAUCCGGAUUCAUUGGGUUUAAAGGGUGCGUAGGUGGGGCGAUAAGUCAGCGGUGAAAUCCUGCAGCUCAACUGCAGAAUUGCCGUUGAUACUGUCGCUCUUGAGUACGCUUGACGUGGGCGGAAUGUGCCGUGUAGCGGUGAAAUGCUUAGAUAUGGCACAGAACACCGAUAGUGAAGACAGCUCACGAAGGCGAAACUGACACUGAGGCACGAAAGCGUGGGGAUCGAACAGGAUUAGAUACCCCGGUAGU